UACAGAGGUCUCAAGCGUUGUUCGGAUUUAUUGGGCGUAAAGGGUGCGUAGGCGGCGCGGCAAGUCGGGUGUGAAAUCUUGGAGCUUAACUCCGAAACUGCAUUCGAUACUGCCGUGCUUGAGGACUGGAGAGGAGACUGGAAUUUACGGUGUAGCGGUGAAAUGCGUAGAUAUCGUAAGGAAGACCAGUGGCGAAGGCGGGUCUCUGGACAGUUCCUGACGCUGAGGCACGAAAGUCAGGGGAGCAAACGGG
rnacentral:rRNA from 1 species